rnacentral:rRNA from 1 species
AGAGUUUGAUCCUGGCUCAGGAUGAACGCUAGCGGCAGGCCUAAUACAUGCAAGUCGAACGCUCAGUAGCAAUACUGGGAGUGGCGCACGGGUGCGUAACGCGUACACAAUCUACCUCUAAGCGGGGGACACCUCCUGGAAACGGGGAUUAAUACCGCAUAAUAUGCCGAAGUCGCAUGACUUUGGUAUUAAAGCAGCAAUGCACUUAGAGAUGAGUGUGCGUCCCAUUAGGUAGUUGGUGAGGUAACGGCUCACCAAGCCUAUGAUGGGUAGCCGGUCUGAGAGGAUGGUCGGCCACACGGGCACUGAGACACGGGCCCGACUCCUACGGGAGGCAGCAGUAAGGAAUAUUGGUCAAUGGUGGAAACACUGAACCAGCCAUGCCGCGUGGAGGAAUACGGUCCUACGGAUUGUAAACUCCUUUUGACGAGGAAGAAAAUGUUAGAUUUAUCUAAUUUUGACGGUACUCGUAGAAUAAGCACCGGCUAACUCCGUG